rnacentral:rRNA from 1 species
UACGGAGGGUGCAAGCGUUAUCCGGAUUCACUGGGUUUAAAGGGUGCGUAGGCGGAUAGGUAAGUCCGUGGUGAAAUCCUGCAGCUUAACUGCAGAACUGCCAUGGAUACUAUUUAUCUUGAAUAUCGUGGAGGUUAGCGGAAUAUGUCAUGUAGCGGUGAAAUGCUUAGAUAUGACAUAGAACACCCAUUGCGAAGGCAGCUAACUACGCGAUAAUUGACGCUGAUGCACGAAAGCGUGGGGAGCAAACAGG